AUUGAACGCUGGCGGCAGGCUUAACACAUGCAAGUCGAACGAUGAAACUCUAGCUUGCUAGAGAAGAUUAGUGGCGGACGGGUGAGUAACAUUUAGGAAUCUGCCUAGUAGUGGGGGAUAGCUCGGGGAAACUCGAAUUAAUACCGCAUACGACCUACGGGUGAAAGGGGGCGCAAGCUCUUGCUAUUAGAUGAGCCUAAAUCAGAUUAGCUAGUUGGUGGGGUAAAGGCCCACCAAGGCGACGAUCUGUAACUGGUCUGAGAGGAUGAUCAGUCACACCGGAACUGAGACACGGUCCGGACUCCUACGGGAGGCAGCAGUGGGGAAUAUUGGACAAUGGGGGCAACCCUGACCCAGCCAUGCCGCGUGUGUGAAGAAGGCCUUUUGGUUGUAAAGCACUUUAAGCAGGGAGGAGAGGCUAAUGGUUAAUACCCAUUAGAUUAGACGUUACCUGCAGAAUAAGCACCGGCUAACUCUGUGCCAGCAGCCGCGGUAAUACAGAGGGUGCGAGCGUUAAUCGGAAUUACUGGGCGUAAAGCGAGUGUAGGUGGCUCAUUAAGUCACAUGUGAAAUCCCCGGGCUUAACCUGGGAACUGCAUGUGAUACUGGUGGUGCUAGAAUAUGUGAGAGGGAAGUAGAAUUCCAGGUGUAGCGGUGAAAUGCGUAGAGAUCUGGAGGAAUACCGAUGGCGAAGGCAGCUUCCUGGCAUAAUAUUGACACUGAGAUCCGAAAGCGUGGGUAGCAAACAGGAUUAGAUACCCUGGUAGUCCACGCCGUAAACGAUGUCUACUAGCCGUUGGGGUCCUUGAGACUUUAGUGGCGCAGUUAACGCGAUAAGUAGACCGCCUGGGGAGUACGGCCGCAAGGUUAAAACUCAAAUGAAUUGACGGGGGCCCGCACAAGCGGUGGAGCAUGUGGUUUAAUUCGAUGCAACGCGAAGAACCUUACCUGGUCUUGACAUAGUGAGAAUCCUGCAGAGAUGCGGGAGUGCCUUCGGGAAUUCACAUACAGGUGCUGCAUGGCUGUCGUCAGCUCGUGUCGUGAGAUGUUGGGUUAAGUCCCGCAACGAGCGCAACCCUUUUCCUUAUUUGCCAGCGGGUUAAGCCGGGAACUUUAAGGAUACUGCCAGUGACAAACUGGAGGAAGGCGGGGACGACGUCAAGUCAUCAUGGCCCUUACGACCAGGGCUACACACGUGCUACAAUGGUAGGUACAGAGGGUUGCUACACAGCGAUGUGAUGCUAAUCUCAAAAAGCCUAUCGUAGUCCGGAUUGGAGUCUGCAACUCGACUCCAUGAAGUCGGAAUCGCUAGUAAUCGCAGAUCAGAAUGCUGCGGUGAAUACGUUCCCGGGCCU
rnacentral:rRNA from 1 species